rnacentral:rRNA from 1 species
AUGAGCCUUCUCCAGAAAAGUGGAUAUAAUGAAGAGGAUAUAUUCAUGUGGCGGGAUUGCCCAUCUUGUAUGGAGGUGCUUGAGGUAGAUCUCCCUAGGAGGAGAUUGGUGACACAACAUGGAAUUGGCAGCCGUUGUGCGGCGUUCGUUGGCGCCUCUCACACAGUCAUGGUAUCCACUGAGAAAUUCCCUCGAAUCAUUUCCAAUGCGGUGUAUCUGAACUAUUCAAUGCAAGGAGUAUUUCGUCAUUUUGCUGCCUACUGCUUUGAUGAUAAGACAACUAUAUCUGCAAGAGACUUUCAAGAUCGUCGAUUUGGUAAAAACUCUCCUUGUGCUUGCCACUGGGAGCUUGAAGAUUAUCUUAUGUGUGAUGUUGAGAAGGGAUACCGUAUGUAA